rnacentral:tRNA from 2 species
GUCCCUGUCGAUUAGUGGUUAAAUCAUCUCGUUGUGGCCGAGAAGCCGGGUGUUCGACUCACCCCAGAGACA